rnacentral:rRNA from 1 species
AGUGAACGCUGGCGGUAGGCCUAACACAUGCAAGUCGAACGGCAGCACAGUAAGAGCUUGCUCUUACGGGUGGCGAGUGGCGGACGGGUGAGGAAUACAUCGGAAUCUACUUUUUCGUGGGGGAUAACGUAGGAAAACUUACGCUAAUACCGCAUACGACCUACGGGUGAAAGCAGGGGAUCUUCGGACCUUGCGCGAUUGAAUGAGCCGAUGUCGGAUUAGCUAGUUGGCGGGGUAAAGGCCCACCAAGGCGACGAUCCGUAGCUGGUCUGAGAGGAUGAUCAGCCACACUGGAACUGAGACACGGUCCAGACUCCUACGGGAGGCAGCAGUGGGGAAUAUUGGACAAUGGGCGCAAGCCUGAUCCAGCCAUACCGCGUGGGUGAAGAAGGCCUUCGGGUUGUAAAGCCAUUUUGUUGGGAAAGAAAAGCAGCAGGUUAAUACCCCGCUGUUCUGACGGUACCCAAAGAAUAAGCACCGGCUAACUUCGUG